AUACGUAGGGUGCGAGCGUUGUCCGGAAUUACUGGGCGUAAAGAGCUCGUAGGUGGUUUGUCGCGUCGCCUGUGAAAUUCCGGGGCUUAACUCCGGGCGUGCAGGCGAUACGGGCAUAACUUGAGUACUGUAGGGGAGACUGGAAUUCCUGGGGUAGCGGUGAAAUGCGCAGAUAUCAGGAGGAACACCGGUGGCGAAGGCGGGUCUCUGGGCAGUAACUGACGCUGAGGAGCGAAAGCAUGGGUAGCGAACAGGAUUAGAUACCCUGGUAGUCCAUGCCGUAAACGGUGGGCGCUAGGUGUAGGGGUCUUCCACGACUUCUGUGCCGUAGCUAACGCAUUAAGCGCCCCGCCUGGGGAGUACGGCCGCAAGGCUAAAACUCAAAUGAAUUGGCGGGG
rnacentral:rRNA from 1 species